rnacentral:lncRNA from 1 species
GUUUGGUAUGUGCUACAUAUGUGGUAAGUAAAUUUGUGUCCGAAAAGAUUGACAGCACUUACAAGCCUGCAAUGGCCAAGGCUAGGCCAGGCUGAAGCCAGGAGCCAGGAUUGGCACUGUGAUAUAGGAUACCAGUGAUACAAGUGGAAACUUAACCCACUGUGCCAGCAUGUCUCUUUUUCUAACUGAUGAUUAAGGUUAUAUUUUGUGAAUGGGCUUAUAUCUUUGCUAUUUUGUUUUGUGUUUGCUUGUUUUUUGAAUACUUAGUAGCUUUUUAAAACUGAUAAAUCAUGAA